rnacentral:rRNA from 1 species
UACGGGGGGGGCAAGCGUUGUUCGGAAUUACUGGGCGUAAAGGGCUCGUAGGCGGCCAACUAAGUCAGACGUGAAAUCCCCAGGCUCAACCUGGGAACUGCAUCCGAUACUGGCGGGCUUGAAUCCGGGAGAGGGAUGUGGAAUUCCAGGUGUAGCGGUGAAAUGCGUAGAUAUCUGGAGGAACACCGGUGGCGAAGGCGGCAUCCUGGACCGGUAUUGACGCUGAGGCGCGAAAGCUAGGGGAGCAAACGGG